UCCUCUCUGUAAAAUGUUCCAGAAAUUACAAAUGGAAAUCCAUAUGGGUAUAUAAGAACUGGUUUCUGCCUGUUUUAAGGAUCUUAAUGUUAACGAACAGCUGAAACACUCCAUUGCAACAAAAGUAAUACUUUACAUUGGAUUCUUCUCUGAAUGGUUUUUCAUUCCUGAGUGCCAUCUUUAUCCUGCUCAUUUGCUUUUCUAGGUUCUUCUUCUUCUUCUUCCUCCUCCUCCUCCUUUGUGUUUGGUUCUGGGACUUCAGCUCCUGCAGCUGCUCCAGCAUUUGGUACCAGCCAGCCACCAACAUUUGGUCAAAGCCAGGGCUCCAGCCAGCCCCCUGCUCCAACCUUUGGAUCACUUUCAUCAUCUUCAUUAUUUCCUACUGGCUCCCAGCCAGGGCCUCCAGCUUUUGGGUCUGUGUCAAGCAGCACACAGCCUCCUGUCUUUGGACAACAAGCUGCCCAACAGCCUGGUUUUGGCUCAGGUACAGCUUCUAAUUCUGGUGCAGUUUUCCAGUUUGGAAGUAGUACGGCUAAUUUCAACUGUACAGGCAACAGUCCAGGAGUAUUUACCUUUGGUGCAACUCCUGGUGCAUCAGCACAGCCGGCAGGCUCUUCAGGAUUUUCAUUCAAUCAGCCUCCAUCAUUUAAUCUGGGCAGGAAUAACGGGAAAAAUAUGUUCUCCAUGCCUGGAUCUUCUUCAGUGGCUGGUCGGAAGAUAAAGAUGGCUGUUAGACGUAGAAAAUAAAAUAUUAAUGAUUGUUACAGACAGAAAAUCUCUUACCACAGCUGGUUGCCCUGCAUUGUUCAGUUAUUGAAUUGUACCUCAUGCUGGGUUUAGCUGAAGCCAGAUCUGCCUAAAUUCUGCUUGCUUUUUUUCCUCCCCAUUUAGGGUUUUUUUGUUUUGUUUUGUUUUUUUAAUAAUUAGAGUUGGUGGCAGGGAGGAUCUUGAGCAAAACUGUUUUAGACUCCAUCGUUUUUUCUUCACUGACUUGGCAUGGUCUGGCUAUAGAUAUAAAUAUAGCCUGCACUGCGAAUGGCUUCGUAUAAUACCUCUGUUUGCACCACUUUGUGCGCUCAUCUGCGUUUACUGACACCUCGAAAUUGUAAUUAUAUCAGAAAGGGGGAGUCUGUAUAGAGUAGAGAAUGUGGAUAAUGAAUGAUUUCUUUGCAGAGUUUGUGCUGAUGUACGUGUGAAGUGAGCAAGUUGCGUGUAUUGUGCACUAAAAUUUUCUGAUAGAGGAAGAAUGAUCAAAGAAUGGUCCAUGCUAAGGACUAGUUAGAUCAGUAGUACUUCAUUCAAUAAUUAGAUGCUCUUUCUAUUCUCAUUCUUAUGGCUCUUUAUCACCUGUCUCGCCUUUUCAUUAUUUUAUUAUGAAACAAAAUGUGUAAAUACAAUUCUGUUUCUCUACAUACUUUGGCAUAACAAAUCUGUGAACUUGAAAUUUUAAUUUUGUGUGUUACAGCAAAUUUUUGUUUUAGUAUUGUCUCAGAUUUUAUUAUGUAAAUCUCAUUAUUCAAAGUUGCCUAAAUCCAUUAAAGACCUUUAAAAUUGGGAAUUCUUAAAAUGAGUUUAUUGGCUUUUCUGAUCCAUUUUUGUUUGGACCAAAAACCAGUAUUGUACAAAGUGUUAAGUAUAUAUUUUUAUAUUUACAGAAAUGGACUCUGGUGACUUUGGAUAAUAAGGAAAAGUUUAAUAUUAAAGCCAUGUUUAUUACAGUAUAAUUAACAUGUUAAACCAUGGGAUAAAUGCCAUCAAUAAAAAUUAUCAAAUACA